AGAUUGAACGCUGGCGGCAGGCCUAACACAUGCAAGUCGAGCGGCAGCACAGUCGUAGCAAUACGAUGGGUGGCGAGCGGCGGACGGGUGAGGAAUGCAUCGGAAUCUACCUUGUUGUGGGGGAUAACGUAGGGAAACUUACGCUAAUACCGCAUGAGACCGUAAGGUGAAAGCGGGGGACCUGUGAGGGCCUCGCGCGACAAGAUGAGCCGAUGCCGGAUUAGCUAGUUGGUGGGGUAAAGCCCACCAAGGCGACGAUCCGUAGCUGGUCUGAGAGGAUGAUCAGCCACACUGGAACUGAGACACGGUCCAGACUCCUACGGGAGCAGCAGUGGGGAAUAGUUGGACAAGUGGGCGCAAGCCUGAUCCAGCCAUGCCGCGUGUGUGAAGAGGCCUUGGUGUAAAGCUACGUUUUGUAGGGAAGAAGUCCGUGGGUAAUUAA
rnacentral:rRNA from 1 species